GGUUAAGCGACUAAGCGUACACGGUGGAUGCCCUGGCAGUCAGAGGCGAUGAAGGACGUGCUAAUCUGCGAUAAGCGUCGGUAAGGUGAUAUGAACCGUUAUAACCGGCGAUUUCCGAAUGGGGAAACCCAGUGUGUUUCGACACACUAUCAUUAACUGAAUCCAUAGGUUAAUGAGGCGAACCGGGGGAACUGAAACAUCUAAGUACCCCGAGGAAAAGAAAUCAACCGAGAUUCCCCCAGUAGCGGCGAGCGAACGGGGAGCAGCCCAGAGCCUGAAUCAGUGUGUGUGUUAGUGGAAGCGUCUGGAAAGGCGCGCGAUACAGGGUGACAGCCCCGUACACAAAAAUGCACAUGCUGUGAGCUCGAUGAGUAGGGCGGGACACGUGGUAUCCUGUCUGAAUAUGGGGGGACCAUCCUCCAAGGCUAAAUACUCCUGACUGACCGAUAGUGAACCAGUACCGUGAGGGAAAGGCGAAAAGAACCCCGGCGAGGGGAGUGAAAAAGAACCUGAAACCGUGUACGUACAAGCAGUGGGAGCACGCUUAGGCGUGUGACUGCGUACCUUUUGUAUAAUGGGUCAGCGACUUAUAUUCUGUAGCAAGGUUAACCGAAUAGGGGAGCCGAAGGGAAACCGAGUCUUAACUGGGCGUUAAGUUGCAGGGUAUAGACCCGAAACCCGGUGAUCUAGCCAUGGGCAGGUUGAAGGUUGGGUAACACUAACUGGAGGACCGAACCGACUAAUGUUGAAAAAUUAGCGGAUGACUUGUGGCUGGGGGUGAAAGGCCAAUCAAACCGGGAGAUAGCUGGUUCUCCCCGAAAGCUAUUUAGGUAGCGCCUCGUGAAUUCAUCUCCGGGGGUAGAGCACUGUUUCGGCAAGGGGGUCAUCCCGACUUACCAACCCGAUGCAAACUGCGAAUACCGGAGAAUGUUAUCACGGGAGACACACGGCGGGUGCUAACGUCCGUCGUGAAGAGGGAAACAACCCAGACCGCCAGCUAAGGUCCCAAAGUCAUGGUUAAGUGGGAAACGAUGUGGGAAGGCCCAGACAGCCAGGAUGUUGGCUUAGAAGCAGCCAUCAUUUAAAGAAAGCGUAAUAGCUCACUGGUCGAGUCGGCCUGCGCGGAAGAUGUAACGGGGCUAAACCAUGCACCGAAGCUGCGGCAGCGACACUAUGUGUUGUUGGGUAGGGGAGCGUUCUGUAAGCCUGUGAAGGUGUGCUGUGAGGCAUGCUGGAGGUAUCAGAAGUGCGAAUGCUGACAUAAGUAACGAUAAAGCGGGUGAAAAGCCCGCUCGCCGGAAGACCAAGGGUUCCUGUCCAACGUUAAUCGGGGCAGGGUGAGUCGACCCCUAAGGCGAGGCCGAAAGGCGUAGUCGAUGGGAAACAGGUUAAUAUUCCUGUACUUGGUGUUACUGCGAAGGGGGGACGGAGAAGGCUAUGUUGGCCGGGCGACGGUUGUCCCGGUUUAAGCGUGUAGGCUGGUUUUCCAGGCAAAUCCGGAAAAUCAAGGCUGAGGCGUGAUGACGAGGCACUACGGUGCUGAAGCAACAAAUGCCCUGCUUCCAGGAAAAGCCUCUAAGCAUCAGGUAACAUCAAAUCGUACCCCAAACCGACACAGGUGGUCAGGUAGAGAAUACCAAGGCGCUUGAGAGAACUCGGGUGAAGGAACUAGGCAAAAUGGUGCCGUAACUUCGGGAGAAGGCACGCUGAUAUGUAGGUGAAGUCCCUCGCGGAUGGAGCUGAAAUCAGUCGAAGAUACCAGCUGGCUGCAACUGUUUAUUAAAAACACAGCACUGUGCAAACACGAAAGUGGACGUAUACGGUGUGACGCCUGCCCGGUGCCGGAAGGUUAAUUGAUGGGGUCAGCGCAAGCGAAGCUCUUGAUCGAAGCCCCGGUAAACGGCGGCCGUAACUAUAACGGUCCUAAGGUAGCGAAAUUCCUUGUCGGGUAAGUUCCGACCUGCACGAAUGGCGUAAUGAUGGCCAGGCUGUCUCCACCCGAGACUCAGUGAAAUUGAACUCGCUGUGAAGAUGCAGUGUACCCGCGGCAAGACGGAAAGACCCCGUGAACCUUUACUAUAGCUUGACACUGAACAUUGAGCCUUGAUGUGUAGGAUAGGUGGGAGGCUUGGAAGUGUGGACGCCAGUCUGCAUGGAGCCGACCUUGAAAUACCACCCUUUAAUGUUUGAUGUUCUAACGUUGACCCGUAAUCCGGGUUGCGGACAGUGUCUGGUGGGUAGUUUGACUGGGGCGGUCUCCUCCUAAAGAGUAACGGAGGAGCACGAAGGUUGGCUAAUCCUGGUCGGACAUCAGGAGGUUAGUGCAAUGGCAUAAGCCAGCUUGACUGCGAGCGUGACGGCGCGAGCAGGUGCGAAAGCAGGUCAUAGUGAUCCGGUGGUUCUGAAUGGAAGGGCCAUCGCUCAACGGAUAAAAGGUACUCCGGGGAUAACAGGCUGAUACCGCCCAAGAGUUCAUAUCGACGGCGGUGUUUGGCACCUCGAUGUCGGCUCAUCACAUCCUGGGGCUGAAGUAGGUCCCAAGGGUAUGGCUGUUCGCCAUUUAAAGUGGUACGCGAGCUGGGUUUAGAACGUCGUGAGACAGUUCGGUCCCUAUCUGCCGUGGGCGCUGGAGAACUGAGGGGGGCUGCUCCUAGUACGAGAGGACCGGAGUGGACGCAUCACUGGUGUUCGGGUUGUCAUGCCAAUGGCACUGCCCGGUAGCUAAAUGCGGAAGAGAUAAGUGCUGAAAGCAUCUAAGCACGAAACUUGCCCCGAGAUGAGUUCUCCCUGACCCUUUAAGGGUCCUGAAGGAACGUUGAAGACGACGACGUUGAUAGGCCGGGUGUGUAAGCGCAGCGAUGCGUUGAGCUAACCGGUACUAAUGAACCGUGAGGCUUAACCUU
rnacentral:rRNA from 1 species